AUUGAACGCUGGCGGCAUGCCUUACACAUGCAAGUCGAACGGCAGCACGGGAGCAAUCCUGGUGGCGAGUGGCGAACGGGUGAGUAAUAUAUCGGAACGUGCCCGAGUCGUGGGGGAUAACGUAGCGAAAGCUACGCUAAUACCGCAUAACGAUCUAUGGAUGAAAGCGGGGGAUCGCAAGACCUCGCGCGAUUGGAGCGGCCGAUAUCAGAUUAGGUAGUUGGUGAGGUAAAGGGCUCACCCAAGCCGACGAUCUGUAGCUGGUCUGAGAGGACGACCAGCCACACUGGGACUGAGACACGGCCCAGACUCCUACGGGAGGCAGCAGUGGGGAAUUUUGGGACAAUGGGCGCAAGCCUGAUCCAGCAAUG
rnacentral:rRNA from 1 species